CUCAGGACGAACGCUGGCGGCGUGCCUAAUACAUGCAAGUCGAGCGGACAGAAGGGAGCUUGCUCCCGGAUGUUAGCGGCGGACGGGUGAGUAACACGUGGGUAACCUGCCUGUAAGACUGGGAUAACUCCGGGAAACCGGAGCUAAUACCGGAUAGUUCCUUGAACCGCAUGGUUCAAGGAUGAAAGACGGUUUCGGCUGUCACUUACAGAUGGACCCGCGGCGCAUUAGCUAGUUGGUGGGGUAAUGGCUCACCAAGGCGACGAUGCGUAGCCGACCUGAGAGGGUGAUCGGCCACACUGGGACUGAGACACGGCCCAGACUCCUACGGGAGGCAGCAGUAGGGAAUCUUCCGCAAUGGACGAAAGUCUGACGGAGCAACGCCGCGUGAGUGAUGAAGGUUUUCGGAUCGUAAAGCUCUGUUGUUAGGGAAGAACAAGUGCGAGAGUAACUGCUCGCACCUUGACGGUACCUAACCAGAAAGCCACGGCUAACUACGUGCCAGCAGCCGCGGUAAUAC
rnacentral:rRNA from 1 species